CCCGCAACGAGCGCAACCCUUGUUUGCUGUUGCCAUCAGGUUAUGCUGGGCACUCUGCAAAGACUGCCGGUGAUAAACCGGAGGAAGGUGGGGAUGACGUCAAGUCAGCAUGGCCUUUAUGUCUGGGGCUACACACGUGCUACAAUGGCCGAUACAAACCGUCGCGAGCCCGCGAGGGGGAGCUAAUCGGAGAAAGUCGGUCUCGGUUCGGAUAGCAGCUUCAGGUCUCGGCUGCUUGAAGUUGGAAUCGCUAGUAAUCGCGGAUCAGCACGCCGCGGUGAAUACGUUCCCGG
rnacentral:rRNA from 1 species